UACGAAGGGGGCUAGCGUUGCUCGGAAUCACUGGGCGUAAAGCGCACGUAGGCGGACUCUUAAGUCGGUGGUGAAAUCCUGGAGCUCAACUCCAGAACUGCCUUCGAUACUGGGAGUCUCGAGUCCGGAGAGGUGAGUGGAACUGCGAGUGUAGAGGUGAAAUUCGUAGAUAUUCGCAAGAACACCAGUGGCGAAGGCGGCUCACUGGCCCGGUACUGACGCUGAGGUGCGAAAGCGUGGGGAGCGAACAGG
rnacentral:rRNA from 1 species